AGUGGCGGACGGGUGAGUAACGCGUGAGAAUCUGCCUUCAGGUCGGGGACAACAGUUGGAAACGACUGCUAAUACCCGAUGUGCAGCAAUGUGAAAGAUUUAUUGCCUGAAGAUGAGCUCGCGUCUGAUUAGCUAGUAGGUGUGGUAAUGGCGCACCUAGGCGACGAUCAGUAACUGGUCUGAGAGGAUGACCAGUCACACUGGGACUGAGACACGGCCCAGACUCCUACGGGAGGCAGCAGUGGGGAAUUUUCCGCAAUGGGCGAAAGCCUGACGGAGCAAUACCGCGUGAGGGACGACGGCUUUUGGGUUGUAAACCUCUUUUCCCUGGGAAGAAGAUCUGACGGUACCAGGGGAAUCAGCAUCGGCUAACUUCGUGCCAGCAGCCGCGGUAAUACGAGGGAUGCAAGCGUUAUCCGGAACUAUUGGGCGUAAAGCGUCCGCAGGUGGCUCUGUAAGUCUGUCGUUAAAGAAUGGAGCUUAACUCCAUACAGGCGAUGGAAACUACAAGGCUAGAGUUUGGUAGGGGUCACGGGAAUUCUUAGUGUAGCGGUGAAAUGCGUAGAUAUUAAGAAGAACACCAGCGGCGAAAGCGCGUGACUGGGCCAGUACUGACACUCAUGGACGAAAGCUAGGGGAGCGAAAGGGAUUAGAUACCCCUGUAGUCCUAGCCGUAAACGAUGAUAACUAGGUGUUGCUC
rnacentral:rRNA from 1 species